UAGGGAAUAUUGCGCAAUGGGGGAAACCCUGACGCAGCAAUGCCACGUGAGUGAGGAAGGCCUUCGGGUUGUAAAGCUCUGUCCUAUAGGAAGAACGGCUUUGGGUAACGCCAAAGUUUGACGGUACUAUAGAAGAAAGCACCGGCUAACUCCGUGCCAGCAGCCGCGGUAAUACGGAGGGUGCGAGCGUUGUUCGGAUUUACUGGGCGUAAAGCGCGCGCAGGCGGACUAGCAAGUCAGAUGUGAAAUCUCGGGGCUCAACCCCGAAACUGCGUCUGAAACUGUUAGUCUAGAAUCUCAUAGGGGGUAGGGGAAUUUCACGUGUAGGGGUAAAAUCCGUAGAGAUGUGAAGGAACACCUGAGGCGAAGGCGCCUGCCUGGAUGAGUAUUGACGCUGAGGCGCGAAAGCGUGGGGAGCAAACAGG
rnacentral:rRNA from 1 species